rnacentral:rRNA from 1 species
AAUGAACGUUGGCGGCGUGGAUUAGGCAUGCAAGUCGCGCGACAAGGAACCUUCGGGUUCUGGAGGAGCGGCAAACGGGGUAGUAAGGCAUCGGAACGUACCCUCUUGUUGGGAAUAGCCGCGGGAAACUGCGAGUAAUGCCCAAUAAUCCCUACGGGGCAAAGGUCCGCCGCAGGAGGAGCGGCCGAUGUGAUACCAGCUAGUUGGUGAGGUAAUGGCUCACCAAGGCUUAGACGUCUAGGGGGUGUGAGAGCAUGGCCCCCACCCACUGGACGUGAGAUACUGCCACGACACCUACCGGGUGGGCGUGCAGUCGA